UUUUCCAUAAUGUAUGGAAUGGCAAGUAAGCAACUCACUGUAAGUCAUGACAGUUAAACCGAUGACCCACUGAUUCCAUAACAAUGGAAUUGAUGAUUAAGGCGAGAGAAAACCAGAAAACAACAAGGAGUAUGUACCUUAAAGUUAGCCUCUUUUGGAGCUGCCAAGCCCGGAACCCAUCCAAACUCCAAGUGUUGUCCUCCUCCCUAAGCCCUAUGCAUUCCAUGCAUACCUUUCUUUUACUAUCAGUUCGGUACCU
rnacentral:lncRNA from 1 species